rnacentral:rRNA from 1 species
CAGUCGCCGCGGGAAUACAGAGGGUGCAAGCGUUAAUCGGAAUUACUGGGCGUAAAGCGCGCGUAGGUGGUUUGUUAAGUUGGAUGUGAAAUCCCCGGGCUCAACCUGGGAACUGCAUCCAAAACUGGCAAGCUAGAGUAUGGUAGAGGGUGGUGGAAUUUCCUGUGUAGCGGUGAAAUGCGUAGAUAUAGGAAGGAACACCAGUGGCGAAGGCGACCACCUGGACUGAUACUGACACUGAGGUGCGAAAGCGUGGGGAGCAAACAGGAUUGGAUACCCCGGUAGUCCCUGUCUCUUAUAC